UACGUAGGGUGCGAGCGUUAAUCGGAAUUACUGGGCGUAAAGCGUGCGCAGGCGGUUAUGUAAGACAGAGGUGAAAUCCCCGGGCUCAACCUGGGAACUGCCUUUGUGACUGCAUGACUAGAGUACGGCAGAGGGGGAUGGAAUUCCGCGUGUAGCAGUGAAAUGCGUAGAUAUGCGGAGGAACACCGAUGGCGAAGGCAAUCCCCUGGGCCUGUAAUGACGAUCAUGCAGGAAAGCGUGGGGAGCAAACAGG
rnacentral:rRNA from 1 species